rnacentral:tRNA from 1 species
AGGCCCAUGGUGUAACGGUAGCACUAAAGAUUCUGAUUCUUUCAGUCGGGGUUCGAAUCCCUGUGGGCCUAAGC